rnacentral:rRNA from 1 species
ACGCUGGCGGCAGGCUUAACACAUGCAAGUCGAACGGUAACAGGGAUUAGCUUGCUAAUUUGCUGACGAGUGGCGGACGGGUGAGUAAUGCUUGGGAAUCUGGCUUAUGGAGGGGGAUGACUACGGGAAACUGUAGCUAAUACCGCGUAAAAUCUUCGGAUUAAAGGGUGGGACUUUCGGGCCACCUGCCAUGAGAUGAGCCCAAGUGGGAUUAGGUAGUUGGUUAGGUAAAGGCUGACCAAGCCGACGAUCUCUAGCUGGUCUGAGAGGAUGACCAGCCACACUGGAACUGAGACACGGUCCAGACUCCUACGGGAGGCAGCAGGGGGGAAUAUUGCACAAUGGGGGGAACCCUGAUGCAGCCAUGCCGCGUGAAUGAAGAAGGCCUUCGGGUUGUAAAGUUCUUUCGGUGACGAGGAAGGUUGGUAUGUUAAUAGCAUAUCAAAUUGACGUUAAUCACAGAAGAAGCACCGGCUAACUCCGUGCCAGCAGCCGCGGUAAUACGGGGGGUGCGAGCGUUAAUCGGAAUAACUGGGCGUAAAGGGCACGCAGGCGGUGACUUAAGUGAGAUGUGAAAGCCCCGGGCUUAACCUGGGAAUUGCAUUUCAUACUGGGUCGCUAGAGUACUUUAGGGAGGGGUAGAAUUCCACGUGUAGCGGUGAAAUGCGUAGAGAUGUGGAGGAAUACCGAAGGCGAAGGCAGCCCCUUGGGAAUGUACUGACGCUCAUGUGCGAAAGCGUGGGGAGCAAACAGGAUUAGAUACCCUGGUAGUCCACGCUGUAAACGAUGUCGAUUUGGGGAUUGGGCUUUAAGCUUGGUGCCCGUAGCUAACGUGAUAAAUCGACCGCCUGGGGAGUACGGCCGCAAGGUUAAAACUCAAAUGAAUUGACGGGGGCCCGCACAAGCGGUGGAGCAUGUGGUUUAAUUCGAUGCA